CCGCAGCCACGCCCAGGCCUGCCAGACGGCAACCUGGGGAGCCCGAUUUCCGCCAGCCCCGGAGUUUGGCGCCCGGACCACAGACCAGCUAGAAGCGGCAGGGCUUCCCUGGUGGCGCAGUGGUUGAGGGUCCGCCUGCCGAUGCAGGGGACACAGGUUCGUGCCCCGGUCCGGGAGGAUCCCACGUGCCGCAGAGCGGCUGGGCCCGUGAGCCAUGGCCGCUGAGCCUGCGCGUCCGGAGGCUGUGCUCCGCAACAGGAGAGGCCACAGCAGUGACAGGCCCGCGUACCGCAAAAAAACCCACAAAAUACCCUUCAUUUUACAGACGACAAACAUGAGGCACAGAGAGGUGAUGUGACUUUCUCAAGGUCACACAGCUAGUAAAUAAAUAGCAGAGCCAGGAUUCAAGCCCAGGAGUCUCGCCGCAGAGUCAGUGCUGGUAACCACUAUGCUCAGCUGCACUGGAUGGUGCCUGUGAAGGGCCAGCCUUUACCUGUUUGGAAUCUGAAUUUAUUCUCCUGAUGGUGCCUCCAUUAUUUGGCAGACACUCAUUUUCCUAAAGGCUCCAUUUGGCUUCCCUAAACAAGAAUCUCCCGGGAGUUCCCUGGCGGUCCAGUGGUUAGGAGUUCGCACUUCCACUGCAGGGGUCACAGGUUCAAUCCCUGGUCGGGGAACUAAGAUCCUGCCUGCUGUGCAGUGUGGCCAAAAAAAACUCCUUUCCUGCCAUUCUUCAAAUCUAAUAACUGAAUCCCCGUGACUUUCAGAAGGAAACAGCCAGUGGUAUGUGGGACAACCAGCGCUGGGGGAUGCCUAGUGUUUGUCGAUCUCUGUGGUAUAAAUACCCCCACCAUGGCCAAGUUCACGCUACCAACCUGACAUCAGUGAACACAGAAUUGAGAAGAGGUACAUAAAAUCAGCCCCCAAGAACCACCAUGAGCAGCUCCAGUGCACCCCUGUCAGCCCAAGCAAAGGUGUGGCAACAGGGACGAGUAAGGGACUCCUCAGGUACAAACCACCAGCUGGACCCCCUGGCCCUGCCUCACAGGCCCUGUCAGGCCUCCCCUCCCUCACACUUCCCUGAGGCUGCCCUUCCUAACAUGCAGGGGGCUGGGGCUCCAGCUCUGGUCACCUGGAGAGGGUGCACCAGUUGGGCGGCUUGAGAGCCAGGCUGAGCAGGUGUGACAGGCGAGCCAGCUGUGACUAAUCUUCCUGGUUAGAGCAGCAUUGCCUCCUCGUCACUCCCUACCCUGUUAGCUCCCAAUUGCCUUUGGGAUAAAGUUUAAACUUCUUAGACUGCUGGACAAGGAUUGCCCUCAUCUGGGCCCUGCCUUGCUAAUCAGAUCCUCCACGGCAUCUGUGCACAAACAACCUCUAUUCUAAGUAUCUCACAAACAUGCCUUACCCACCUCUGUCACCACACCUUGGCUUGAGCUGUUGUCCGCCUGGAAUGCCAUUUCUCUGCUUUGCCCAAGAUGGGGCUGACCCUCAUGCCUCAAGACCUGGCUCAGUAGCACCUCCUGGGGCUGGCUUUGCCAGGCUGCUCCUGCCCACGGGCGCUCUCCCUCCUCUGACUCCUGUAGGAUCAUGGCUCAGCAGGCCUAGACUUGAACUGUCAGUUAACUUUCAAACAAAACUAAACUGUAAGUUUCUUGAGGGUAUGAGUGUCUUAGUUUUCUCUGUUCUCUGUACAUACUCAGCAAUGUGUUGUAAAGCCUUAAUCCAUUCCACCAAUGAGCACCUAUCAAGACAUGGAGGAGACGUGGAUGGAUGUCAUGUAUCCUGUCCUCAGGAAGCUCAUACCCUAGUGAGGGAGGCAGAGCAAAAAAGGGAAUGACAACACACUGUCACCUGCAGGUAGGAGCGUAAAUUGGUACCAGCGUUAGAACUGGUUGGCCAUUUGCUCUUAAAAGGGUGAAAAUGUGCACCUCAUUUUUCCUGAUAAUUCCAUUAUGGAUGGAUUUAGUCUACAUAAAGCUGGCAAGGGGUCACACACUAUUACUGUAUUGUUUAUCUUGUAUCAAUAAAGAGACGUUUCCAGCAUUGUGAGAAAAGAAUAAAGAAAAAAAAUGCCUGGAUGGAUUGUUCCAGAUUUGGAAAGCUGGUGCACAUCGUUCCCAUAUGUGCUUUUUACUUGUGCUAUAUAUGCAUGUAUCUAUAAAAAUAUCAAGCUAGAUAAUUCUGCAAUUUCCUUUUUCACUCAAGAUUGUUGGCGAGAUCCACCCAUGUUGAUUUAAUCUAGCUUAGACUUCUCAGCCUUGGCACCAGUGACAUUUACAUUUGGGGCCCAAUAAUUCUUUGUGUGGCGGGGGUGAGGGGCUGCCCUGUGCAUCAGAGCAGCGUCCCUGGCCUCUGCCCACUAGAUGCCCGUAGCUCACCCUCCACUCCCCAGCUGUGACCAACAGAAAUGUCUCCAGACAUUGCCAGUUGUUCCUGGGACACAGACGAAAUCUGGGGUGGGGUCGGGUAGCAGGGGAGAGCAGAAGGCAAAGUCACGCUAGUUCAUUUGUUCUCACUGCUGUGUACUCUUUCGUCACAUGAAUGCACUACAAUUUAUUUUUCUAUUCUGUUUUUUGGCCAUGCCGUGGGGCUCGCAGGAUCGUGGUUCCCCAACCAGGAAUCGAACCCAUGCCCCCUGCAGUGGAAGCACGGAGUCCAAACCACUGGACCACUAGGGAAUUCCCUUUCCUAUUCUCCUAUUGAUGGACUUUGAAGAUUGUUCCAGGCUUUUUUUUUUUCUCUGCUAUUACAGAUAAUGCUGAGUGAAAAGUCCCCAUACUCAUUUCCUUGAGCCCAUAUGGGAAAGUUUUUCUAGAAUAAUUACCUAGAAGUAAAACACAGGGUCAUAGGGAUGUGUAGCUUCCACUUUUACUAAAUCCUGCCAAACUGCUUCCAGCGUAUGAAAGUUUUACAGUUUUUGUGUCGUCAAGAUCACGAGCCUUCCUCUUGUGGCUUCUGGGCUUUGUGACAUGCUUCAAACGCCUUUCUCCAUUUAAAUCUUUGAUUUGCCUGCAAGUGAUUGUAGCUAAAGGGAGGAAGGGAGGAGGUGUCCAGUUGUUUCAACACCAUUUAUUGACGCAGAUGACUGAAUUAUAUGCAUCUGUGUUUAUAAAAGUUAUAUAUCUUUACAGA